GGAAAGGGCUCAAAAUUAAAUGGGAAGCACCUGAGUAUAAGAUCAAAGCUGCCAGGAAUAAGAAAAACCGGGCAUCUGCAAAGGGUGGAUCUGUCCAUACGGGUGGCUCCAUAUCCACAAAUGAGCACAUCAUUCGAAUGCGUCGAGAGUUGGGUAGAGAGCCCACAUUAGAUGAGGUCUUCUUAAGAACUCAUACAAAAAAGAAGGACUCCUCAUGGGUGGACGACAGAUCAAAGAAGACAUAUGAAACAUUUCAAGAGAAGCUUAAACAUGCCUCUCAAGUUGGAGAGGCAUCAGAUAGUGGCCCC